AAUCAACGCUGGCGGCGUGCCUAACACAUGCAAGUCGAGCGCGAAUUGGGGGGCGAACUCCCACUAGUAGAGCGGCAAACGGGUAGAGUAACGCGUGGGUGAUCUACCUUCGAGUGGGGAACGAACAUCGGGAAACGUAGGUGCUAAUACCGCAUGACAUCCUCGGAUCAAUCUGGGGAGUCAAAGACUGGGGACCGGCAAGGCCUGGCGCUUGAAGACGAGCCCGCGUCCGAUUAGCUAGUCGGCGGGGUAAUGGCCCACCAAGGCUUCGAUCGGUAGCCGGCCUGA
rnacentral:rRNA from 1 species